UACGUAGGGUCCAAGCGUUAUCCGGAAUUACUGGGCGUAAAGCGUACGUGGGCGGGAGUUUAAGUGCAACGCGAAAUCUUGCGGCUCAACCGUAUAGACUGUGUUGCAUACUGGACACCUAGAGGAUGGCAGAGGCAAGUGGAAUUUGUAGUGUAGCGGUGAAAUGCGCAGAUAUCGGGAAGAACACCCGUGGCGAAGGCGGCUCUCUGGGACGGUACUGACGCUGAGACGCGAAAGCGUGGGGAGCGAACAGG
rnacentral:rRNA from 1 species